rnacentral:rRNA from 1 species
GUAGGGAAUAUUGGACAAUGGGGGCAACCCUGAUCCAGCGACGCCGCGUGAGUGAUGAAGGCCUUCGGGUCGUAAAACUCUGUUGCAGGGGAAGAACACAAUGACGGUACCCUGCUAGAAAGGAUCGGCUAACUUCGUGCCAGCAGCCGCGGUAAGACGAGGGAUCCUAGCGUUGUUCGGAAUUAUUGGGCGUAAAGCGGGUGCAGGUGGCUUGGUAAGUCAGAUGUGAAAGCCUGGGGCUUAACCCCAGAAGUGCAUUUGAUACUGCUGAGCUUGAGUGCUGGAGAGGCUAUUAGAAUUCCUGGUGUAGUGGUGAAAUACGUAGAUAUCAGGAGGAAUACCGGAGGCGAAGGCGGAUAGCUGGCCAGACACUGACACUCAGACCCGAAAGCGUGGGGAUCAAACAGGAUUAGAUACCCUUGUAGUCC